AUGGCAUGUUCUUCUCUGCAUAAGGUGGAUUCCCUCAGCCCACACAGGCAGAGUCUGGGCAUGACUCUGGCACAUUACAGCAGAGUGUGCAGAUCAACAGGCUCUAGAAGAAAUGCUGCAGCGGAGUGGGGAGAAGAGCAUCAAGAAGGUUGCUACUGCCACCAAGAUGAGAUGCUAGGUCUGCUUUGGACUGCAAAUGCAGGAAGGAAUAUUUAAGUAUUUGGAAGAUGUUUGCUAAACAGCUUUUCCCAUCCUCUCUGGGAAAGCAGACAGAUGGAAAUGUACUGGGUGGUAGCUUCAGUCCAUGGUCUAUUGGCUGAACUACAUUGAUCAGAAGCAAUAAAAUACUUGUAUGUGCUUUAUUUAUUAACGUUUGCAAAACGCUUUGAAGUCUUGACAAACAAUUUCCUUGUUAAUAUUACGAAGAUAAUGAUAAUGAAUUAAUUAAUGGAUAGGGAUAACAGAGUUCUACUGCAGUAGCACACAUAAUGAAAUCAGUAGCUGGCAUCUCUGUAAUUUCAUGUCACAGUUAUCAUACCAGGUGGUAAAAUAUGCAUGUGGCAUGAUUAUAUAUCAAAUCUUUCAAUUUGCAUUUUACUUCACAAGUGAAUUAACAAGCAAUCAUUACUUAUGAUUUUUACUAUUUGAUUCACUUUUUUGAAUUUUGCUGCUAUAAUUCAGGGAAUUAUUUCAAAGGACAGAUGGUGAAUGCUUCUUAUUUCUUUGUUGCACUGUUCACAGUCUAGUUCUCUGACCUUCACUGCAUUGCCAGAAUAACUCUUAUGUGAGCAGAAAAGCAGCACUAGAAGUUUUAGCUACGUGAUUUCAAGAUAGGUAAAAUCACUGCAAUUUUUCAUGUAAUUAGGUAUUACUAUUUUAUAUUCUAAUUUCGGUCUAGCUAUAGACUUUGGCUUGUAGCAGUCUAACAAAAUAUGAUCCUUUCACAAAACAGAAGAGAUAUAAGACAAAAUAACCACAGAAUUGGUAGCUAAUGACAGAGAGGUGGGAACAGGAGAUGAUGUGACAAGCAGUGAUAACAGCACAGUAACCCUGCAGUAUCAAGUCUUUCACCAAGUAGCUCAUUGCUAAAAAUCUAAAAAGUAAAUAACAAGGACUAUAGGUAUUCAAGUAGUUCCAGGUAUGCACAAAAUCUCUUUCCCAUUAUGCAGGGCAGAUGGAAUGUAACAAGUAAGGUUCUUCUCUGAAAUCCCAACAACUGGGUGGUGGAAUCUGCUGUCAUUCACAAGCAGAUGUAGAUACCUGCAUUUUGAUGGAGGAAAAGAGAAAGCUGGUUGAAGACAAAAAAAAAAACAACCAUAACUAGGUUCUAAUGGAAAAGAAACCCAUAGAGAAUGGUCACAUAGAUAAUGUCACAAAAAAUGGUCUUUUGGAGGAAUGUGAUCAUGAAAAGGUAGAAGUGCUAAAGGUUAGGAAAAAAAAACUGAGUAGCAGGGAAAUGUAUGCUGUUACCUUACACGAUAGAUUUAGCUGUGAUGCUCACUAGAAAACAAUACACAUCAAAGAGAGUGUUAAAGAAAAAAAAUUGCAACUCGUACAUAAUAGUUGUGUAUAGGGAGUGAAGAAACCUAAUAACAGGUGAGAUAAAGUAUGAGCAAUUACAGUAGCACAAAUGAUAGAAGAGAUUGAGUUAGAGGGAAAGACAAAUAAUUUUGUCCAACAUGAAUAGCCCAGAAAAUACUGGAGACAAUAUCCAGUAUGCCUUAAACUGUAGCACACUGAAAUAAUGAUAAAUGAUCUCUAUGGUGAAGCUUCUCAUGUUGCAAAUAAUUAUUUAAAGCCAGUUAAAGAGAGGCAUUUCCCAAACCUAAGAUACUAAGAACUAUUAAUGUCAAACUGUCAUCUCCUAAGAGCUCUGAAAGUAUUAAAACUAAUUGCUAGUCAUCAAACAAAUGAUGAGGGCCUAAUUUUACACGCCUGUUUCAAGGCAAAAUUCUCACAGCCGUCAGGUUGAUAAGUCAGUGGAAAAAUGCCCAGUAACAUUUUAGUAUAAUAGCUCUUGUUAUA
rnacentral:lncRNA from 1 species